rnacentral:rRNA from 1 species
AGAUUGAACGCUGGCGGCAGGCCUAACACAUGCAAGUCGAGCGGCAGCACGGGUACUUGUACCUGGUGGCGAGCGGCGGACGGGUGAGUAAUGCCUAGGAAUCUGCCUGGUAGUGGGGGGAUAACGCUCGGAAACGGACGCUAAUACCGCAUACGUCCUACGGGAGAAGGCAGGGGACCUUCGGGCCUUGCGCUAUCAGAUGAGCCUAGGUCGGAUUAGCUAGUUGGUGGGGUAAUGGCUCACCAAGGCGACGAUCCGUAACUGGUCUGAGAGGAUGAUCAGUCACACUGGAACUGAGACACGGUCCAGACUCCUACGGGAGCAGCAGUGGGGAAUAUUGGACAAUGGGCGAAAGCCUGAUCCAGCCAUGCCGCGUGUGUGAAGAAGGUCUUCGGAUUGAAAGCACGUUUAAGUGGAGAAGGCAGUUACCAGUACGUAUCUGUUUGACGUUACGACAGAAUAAGCACGCUAACUCUGUGCCAGCACG